CUUCAAUGAGGGAUCAGUGCGGUUCGAAGUUUUGACUUUUUUGUUGCUACAAUAUAAUAAUCUUGAACCAGAAAAAUCAAUGAAAAUAUAUAAAUUGUUUACUCGAAGUUCUCAAGAAAAGAGCGGCUGUUUACAAACCAGUCGCGGCUACGCAUUCAUUACGGCUUUAUAUUGGCAAAAGCUUUUCAGCAUUCAGCAUUUCCAAAACGAUUCCAACUAAAUUUUAAGCAUUUGAAAUAACAAAAUCGCGGGUACUCACGCCUGUGGAUCUGUUGAUGGUCCACUGCUUUAAAGAGCUAAUUUUCCAUUACUAUCAGGUCUGCGCAAGUUUCACAACUUUUAACAGAGAAUGGUUUUUAUAUUGCCGGAGGAAAAUCUGAAGAUAUAGAAAUAUGUUUACCUAAAAGGGUUCAUCUAAGUCCAUCAAUUGUUCGUAGACGCUUUGAACAAAUAAUACCUAAUGUUGGAAAGGCCCAGAGAAAUACUUUCAUGUUUUCUUCAUUUGUUUUUGUCCUCCCAUUGAUUGAGGAGCGGCCAACCUGUAAUCUUGCUGCCAAGAACCAUCUAAGAACACUGCCAAAGAACGUUGACUGAAUGCAGUGAGUGAAGCCGGAAAAAAGCAGAACUAAAUUUUACGAUCCAGUCGUUUAACAAAUGAAUUUAUAACCGUGAAACGCCCAAUUGUCUGGCGUUAAAAUUCAAAUGGCACUAAAUUUGGCAAAACCUUAGGCGCAGCGGAGGCAACCAAUGCCCGGUUGUUGAAUUUGUCCGUCCGAAGUGGUGAGAAUAAUGUAGUCGUCUGCAUUUGUGUGCAUUUGGACAAGAGUACACAUAGAUUUACGUAUACAAAACCCUCAGGCACUUAAUUAGCACACACACAAUCAAGCAGUGACAGUCAGCUGCGCUUAAGAGAGCAGGGCGCUUAUAUAUCUCUCAAUUUUCUUGUUAUAUCUUGCCAAGUUGCUUAGGUUUAUAAAUAAAAA